AAUGUAAUGCCUACAACGUUGAUGCAUCAGAUCCCAUUAGAACUUCAAAGUUAAGUGUGCUUGAGAUAGAUUAGUAUUGGGAUGGGUUACCUCCUUGGAAGUCCUAGCAUUUUACAUGC
rnacentral:rRNA from 1 species